rnacentral:lncRNA from 1 species
CAGCAAUCACACCCUCCUUUCCAGGGUGUGUAGCCACUGCCAGGACCUGGCUGCCUAUCUGGGGAUCACAUUUCCCAGCCUUCAUGUCUGUGUGCCUCCUUCUUCCAGUGGAAUGAGAGCAGAGAUGUAGUCAGUUGUGAGCCCAGGUACUUAACAAGUAGAAGGCGUCUUCAUACUUUCUGCUCCUGCCUAUGGAGGAUCCAGCACAAAAAAACAUGGCCUUGGAAGAUGGAGCUAGAAGAAUGAAUCCUUGAUGGUAGACCCAGAGAAGGCAUCAGCCUUCAUCCCAUGAAACCCACCAAACCGAAAGAAAAAGAGGGGAUGUGACUUCUUGAAGAUCGUGCAUAUGGAAACCUCUGACUUAUAGAGGAAACAUAUAUUUUAUAAGGAGCAUUGAUCUGAGGUUUUCUCUUGGGGGAGAACUGUGCUUGGAGUACUUUGAUGACCUGUCCACAAUGGAAAGAGAAAUCCCAAAGGCUUACUUAAAUAGCCAAAGAUGAUUCCUGAACUGCUAUGCAUAGGCCAAGAAGAGAAAUAUGCGUUGUUCCUAAAGAGAUUGGACGAAGGUGCGGUGGGACUGGGGAAUAUAUCGAUGACACAGGCACGUCCUAUCAAGUCUGCCUGAAAAUAGCUCCCACAUUCUGUCAGAUGAUGGCCUUCUUCAGGAAACCUCUCCAUCCAAAUGAAACCUCUCCAUCCAAAAGUUGGGUGAAUAAAAGUGCCUGUGAAAGAAUCUUCUUCUCUUAACAGGGCCCCUGUCAUAAGGAAACCUGGGAGAGCGAAGAAAGGCCUGAUUGAUCACAAGGUCCUAUCAAAUGUCAAAGCUGGCCCUGGCUGACCUCCCAUCUAUUCAGAGCUGCUUUGAUUUAAUCUCCAAACUGGCUGCUUCUCUAGGCUGUGAGUUCUGUCUGCAAC